rnacentral:rRNA from 1 species
CAAGCGUUUUUGCGCCGAAAAUUUCCGGAACUAAGUUUUUUGCCGAAGCUAUGGAUAUAUUAUCUACAUAAUAUGUGGUAGAGGAGCGUUCCGCUCAGGGAGAAGCCAAGCGCGUAAGCCGCGGUGGACAGAGCGGAAGUGAGAAUGUCAGAUUGAGUAACGAAAACACUAGUGAGAAUCUAGUGCCCCGAAAACGUAAGGGUUCCUCUGCAAGGCUCGUCCUCAGAGGGUCAGUCAGGACCUAAGGUGAGGCCGAAAGGCGUAAUCGAUGGAAAGAAGGCUUACAUUCCUUCACCGUUCUUUAUUAGUCCUGAGGGACGAACAAAUGAAGAGAAAGAUGUUCUCCAGACUUGGCAGUCUGGGUCAAAGGCAUACUUCUCUCUGCAUUUUUUCCAAGAAAAGCUCAUUCGACUUUGAUAAAUGAACGCCUGUACCGUAAACCGACACAGGUACGUGGGUUGAAUAAACUAAGGGGAGCGAGAUAACUCUCUCUAAGGAACUCGGCAAAUUGGCUCUGUACCUUCGGAAGAAAGAGUGCUUCAUUACACUUCGGUGUAAAAAGCCACAGUAAAGAGAUCCAGGCGACUGUUUACCAAAAACACAGGUCUCCGCAAAGUCGUAAGACGAUGUAUGGGGGCUGACACCUGCCCAGUGCCAGAAGGUUAAAGAAGUUGGUCAAUCUUUGAUGAAGCUAACAACUGAAGCCCUGGUGAACGGCGGCAGUAACUAUAACUGUCCUAAGGUAGCGAAAUUCCUUGUCGGGUAAGUUCCGACCCGCACGAAAGGUGUAACGAUCUGGAUACUGUCUCAGAGAGAGACUCGGUGAAAUAAAACUAUCUGUGAAGAUGCGGAUUACCUGCACACGGACAGAAAGACCCUAUGAAGCUUUACUGUAACCUGGAAUUGCUCUCAAGCUUAUCUUGCGCAGCUUAGGUGGGAGACGUUGAACUUCUUCUUCCGGGAAGGAGGGAGUCAUCAGUGAGAUACCACUCUUGGUAAGCUAGAGCGCUCAUUUCUAACCGUCAACCGGUAGAAAGACAGUUUCAGGCGGGCAGUUUGACUGGGGCAGUCACCUCCCAAAAGGUAAUGGAGGUGUACAAAGGUUCGCUCAGGCUGGACGGAAAUCAGCCAUAGAGUGUAAAAGCAUAAGCGAGCUUGACUGCGAGACUGACAUGUCAAGCAGAGACGAAAGUCGGUUUUAGUGAUCCGACGGUGCUGAGUGGAAAGGCCGUCGCUCAACGGAUAAAAGUUACUCUAGGGAUAACAGGCUAAUCUCCCCCAAGAGUUCACAUCGACGGGGAGGUUUGGCACCUCGAUGUCGGCUCGUCGCAUCCUGGAGCGGAAGUACGUUCCAAGGGUUGGGCUGUUCGCCCAUAGAAAGCGGCACGCGAGCUGGGUUCAGAACGUCGUGAGACAGUUUGGUCCAUAUCCUGUGUAGGCGUUUAGAGCAUUGAAAGGAUCUUUAACUUCUGCAAAAUCAGAUUGAGUAGCGACAACAAACUUGAAAUAAAUGUCACUACCGUUAACAGUACUAUACUGAUGAGCGACAACAGGCAGGAUAGCAGUAUCCCAAGGUUCUCCGCUAACACUAAGUUUCGGGGAACAACUCCACGUAAUUGUAAAUCGUUCUUGAGUGUUAAGAUACUCGUAAAACUCUGAGUGUAAAGGUUGUGUAGUGUUUGUUUCAAAUGUGACAUUUUUAAGAUCCUGCAUACGUGGAUGUUCAAAUAGAUCAAUGUAGAGUCUUU